UACAGAGGGGGCAAGCGUUAUUCGGAUUUAUUGGGCGUAAAGAGCGUGUAGGCGGCUAUACAGGUCCGCUGUGAAAACUCGAGGCUCAACCUCGAGACGUCGGUGGAAACCGUAUGGCUAGAGUCCGGAAGAGGAGAGUGGAAUUCCUGGUGUAGCGGUGAAAUGCGCAGAUAUCAGGAAGAACACCCGUGGCGAAGGCGGCUCUCUGGGACGGUACUGACGCUGAGACGCGAAAGCGUGGGGAGCGAACAGG
rnacentral:rRNA from 1 species